rnacentral:rRNA from 1 species
CCUACGGGGGGCAGCAGUGAGGAAUAUUGGUCAAUGGCCGCAGGGCUGAACCAGCCAAGUCGCGUGAGGGAUGACGGUCCUAUGGAUUGUAAACCUCUUUUGUCAGGGAGCAAAGGGCGCCACGUGUGGCGCUUUGCGAGUAACUUAAGAAAAAGCAUCGGCUAACUCCGUGCCAGCAGCCGCGGUAAUACGGGGGAUGCGAGCGUUAGCCGGUGUUAUUGGGUUUAAAGGGUGCGCAGGCGGAAUUGCAAGUCAGCGGUAAAAUUUUGGGGCUCAACCCCGUCGUGCCGUUGAAACUGGCGUUCUUGAGUGGGCGAGAAGUAUGCGGAAUGCGUGGUGUAGCGGUGAAAUGCAUAGAUAUCACGCAGAACUCCGAUUGCGAAGGCAGCAUACCGGCGCUCAACUGACGCUCAUGCACGAAAGCGUGGGUAUCGAACAGGAUUAGAUACCCUGGUAGUC